UUCAGGGCAUCCACAUGGGCUUGUCUCUUCUGCUUCACUACGCAUGAGGAACGCCUCAGUCUCUGCCGGAUGUUUGUGGGCUCAGAGGACUCCAAGAUACGCAAGUGUAGAGAUGCUCUCACAGAUGCUUUUGAGGGUUUCUCAGACAUGGAAAUCAACUAUGAUGAGAGGAGCCACCUGCAUGAUGAAUUUACACAGAUGACAGUUUUCCUUCAGGAGGUGGCUGCUGUCCAGGGGUCCUUUUGGAAGGCCUUCACCAGUGCUGCAGCAAAAUUGAAGAGGACCAUUGAACACCUUAAAAAAGGUAAACCAGCCUCCAACUCUACCCCCUGCAGACAUACCCCAUUGCACACAGGUAGGUGUUCUGAAUCCUAAAAGCUGGGAACAGUGGAUUUCCUAUCCUAAUACAGAUCAUACGACAGUCCUGGCCCAUAUCCAUCCAGGGCUCUUCUGAGAUCUGUUUCUGGCUAUGUGCUCAAGCAUCCUCUCUAGGUAGUACUUCUCUGACAAGGCCUACUAAUUAAGUGCUGAUUCCUUAAAGGAUUGGUUGCCUGGGAUCUCUUUCCACCUUCAAGGGUAAUGAAUACAAGGCUAGUUCUUCCUCAAGGCUUCUGUAUCCCCACCCCAUUCCCCUUUUCAUAGAUGGCUAACUGCAGACCUUAAGCUUCAUACACUUAGCCUUGCUCCACCCUU
rnacentral:lncRNA from 1 species